GCACAGACAAACAAAAAGACAGCAGUAACUUCUGCAGACUUAAAUGUCCCUGUCUGACAGCUUUGAAAGAGCAGUGGUUCUCCCAGCACGCAGCUGGAGAUCUGAGAAUGGGCAGACUGCCUCCUCAAGUGGGUCCCUGACCCCCGAGCAGCCUACCUGGGAGGCAUCCGCCAGCAGGGGCACAUUGACACCUCACAAGGCAGGGUAUUCCAACAGACCUGCAGCUGAGGGUCCUCUCUGUUAGAAGGAAAACUAACAAACGGAAAGGACAUGCACACCAAAAACCCAUCUGUACAUCACCAUCAUCAAAGACCAAAAGUAGAUAAAACCACAAAGAUGGGGAAAAAACAGAACAGAAAAACUGGAAACUCUAAAACGCAGAGCGCCUCUCCUCCUCCAAAGGAACGCAGUUCCUCACCAGCAAUGGAACAAAGCUGGAUGGAGAAUGACUUUGACGAGCUGAGAGAAGAAGGCUUCAGAUGAUCAAAUUACUCUGAGCUACGGGAGGACAUUCAAACCAAAGGCAAAGAAGUUGAAAACUUUGAAAAAAAUUUAGAAGAAUGUAAGGGAAGCCCAUCAGACUAACAGCGGAUCUCUCGGCAGAAACCCUACAAGCCAGAAGAGAGUGGGGGCCAAUAUUCAACAUUCUUACAGAAAAGAUUUUUCAACCCAGAAUUUCAUAUCCAGCCAAACUAAGCUUCAUAAGUGAAGGAGAAAUAAAAUACUUUACAGACAAGCAAAUGCUGAGAGAUUUUGUCACCACCAGGCCUGCCCAAAAAGAGCUCCUGAAGGAAGCGCUAAACAUGGAAAGGAACAACCGGUACCAGCUGCUGCAAAAUCAUGCCAAAAUGUAAAAACCAUCGAGACUAGGAAGAAACUGCAUCAACUAACGAGCAAAAUAACCAGCUAACAUCAUAAUGACAGGAUCAAAUUCACACAUAACAAUAUUAACUUUAAAUGUAAAUGGACUAAAUGCUCCCAUUAAAAGACACAGACUGGCAAAUUGGAUAAAGAGUCAAGACCCAUCAGUGUGCUGUAUUCAGGAAACCCAUCUCACAUGCAGAGACACACAUAGGCUCAAAAUAAAAGGAUGGAGGAAGAUCUACCAAGCAAAUGGAAAACAAAAAAAGGCAGGGGUUGCAAUCCUAGUCUCUGAUAAAACAGACUUUAAGCCAACAAAGAUCAAAAGACACAAAGAAGGCCAUUACAUAAUGGUAAAGGGAUCAAUUCAACAAGAGGAGCUAACUAUCCUAAAUAUAUAUGCACCCAAUACAGGAGCACCCAGAUUCAUAAAGCAAGUCCUGAGUGACCUACAAAGAGACUUAGACUCCCACACAUUAAUAAUGGGAGACUUUAACACCCCUCUGUCAACAUUAGACAGAUCAACGAGACAGAAAGUUAACAAGGAUACCCAGGAAUUGAACUCAGCUCUGCACCAAGCGGACCUAAUAGACAUCUACAGAACUCUCCACCCCAAAUCAACAGAAUAUACAUUUUUUUCAGCGCCACACCACACCUAUUCCAAAAUUGACCACAUACUUGGAAGUAAAGCUCUCCUCAGCAAAUGUAAAAGAACAGAAAUUAUAACAAACUAUC
rnacentral:lncRNA from 1 species